rnacentral:rRNA from 1 species
GGAUGGUCAUGCGUCGCAUUAGCUGGUUGGCGGGGUAACGGCCCACCAAGGCGACGAUGCGUAGGGGUUCUGAGAGGAAGGUCCCCCACACUGGUACUGAGACACGGUCCAAACUCCUACGGGAGGCAGCAGUGAGGAAUAUUGGUCAAUGGCCGGAAGGCUGAACCAGCCAAGUCGCGUGAGGGAAUAAGGCCCUACGGGUCGUAAACCUCUUUUGCCAGGGAGCAAUGCCGUCCACGUGUGGACGGAAGGAGAGUACCUGGAGAAAAAGCAUCGGCUAACUCCGUGCCAGCAGCCGCGGUAAUACGGAGGAUGCGAGCGUUAUCCGGAUUUAUUGGGUUUAAAGGGUGCGUAGGCGGCCUGCCAAGUCAGCGGUAAAAUUGCGGGGCUCAACCCCGUACAGCCGUUGAAACUGCCGGGCUCGAGUGGGCGAGAAGUAUGCGGAAUGCGUGGUGUAGCGGUGAAAUGCAUAGAUAUCACGCAGAACCCCGAUUGCGAAGGCAGCAUACCGGCGCCCGACUGACGCUGAGGCACGAAAGUGCGGGGAUCAAACAGGAUUAGAUACCCUGGUAGUCCGCACAGUAAACGAUGAAUGCUAGCUGUCCGGNGGGAUUGACCCCUGGGUGGCANAGCG